UACGGAGGGGGCUAGCGUUGUUCGGAAUUACUGGGCGUAAAGCGCGCGUAGGCGGACCUGCAAGUCGGGGGGUGAAAGCCCGAGGCUCAACCUCGGAACUGCCUUCGAUACUGCGGGUCUCGAGUCCGGGAGAGGUGAGUGGAAUUCCUAGUGUAGAGGUGAAAUUCGUAGAUAUUAGGAAGAACACCAGUGGCGAAGGCGGCUCACUGGCCCGGUAC
rnacentral:rRNA from 1 species